CGGUCAAAUCACGCUGAAACACCGGUUCUCGUUCGAUCACCGAAGUUAAGCAUCGUAGAGCCAGGUCAGUACUUAGAUGGGGGACCGCUUGGGAACACCUGGUACUGUAAG